AGGCCUGUAGCUCUAAUUGGCCAGAGCGCCGGACUCCAAAUCCGGAGGUUGUGGGUUCGAGCCCCACCAGGCCUG
rnacentral:tRNA from 1 species